GACGAACGCUGGCGGCGUGCCUAAUACAUGCAAGUAGAACGCUGAAGCUUGGUGCUUGCCCCGAGCGGAUGAGUUGCGAACGGGUGAGUAACGCGUAGGUAACCUGCCUGGUAGCGGGGGAUAACUAUUGGAAACGAUAGCUAAUACCGCAUAAGAGUAGAUGUUGCAUGACAUUUGCUUAAAAGGUGCAAUUGCAUCACUACCAGAUGGACCUGCGUUGUAUUAGCUAGUUGGUGAGGUAACGGCUCACCAAGGCAACGAUACAUAGCCGACCUGAGGGGGUGAUCGGCCACACUGGGACUGAGACACGGCCCAGACUCCUACGGGAGGCAGCAGUAGGGAAUCUUCGGCAAUGGACGGAAGUCUGACCGAGCAACGCCGCGUGAGUGAAGAAGGUUUUCGGAUCGUAAAGCUCUGUUGUAAGAGAAGAACGAGUGUGAGAGUGGAAAGUUCACACUGUGACGGUAUCUUACGAGAAAGGGACGGCUAACUACGUG
rnacentral:rRNA from 1 species